rnacentral:rRNA from 1 species
UACAGAGGGUGCAAGCGUUGUUCGGAAUUACUGGGCGUAAAGCGCGUGUAGGCGGUUGCCCAAGUCGGGGUGUGAAAGCCUUGAGCUCAACUCAAGAAAUGCACUCGGUACUGGGUGACUAGAGGACCGGAGAGGAUAGUGGAAUUCCCAGUGUAGUGGUGAAAUACGUAGAGAUUGGGAAGAACACCAGUGGCGAAGGCGGCUAUCUGGACGGUUUCUGACGCUAAGACGCGAAAGCGUGGGGGAGCAAACAGGG